GACGAACGCUGGCGGCGUGCUUAACACAUGCAAGUCGAACGGAAAGGCCCUGCUUGCCGGGUACUCGAGUGGCGAACGGGUGAGUAACACGUGGGUGAUCUGCCCUGCACUUCGGGAUAAGCCUGGGAAACUGGGUCUAAUACCGGAUAGGAGCCAUUUUUAGUGUGAUGGUUGGAAAGUUUUUUCGGUGUAGGAUGAGCUGGCGGCCUAUCAGCUUGUUGGUGGGGUAAUGGCCUACCAAGGCGGCGACGGGUAGCCGGCCUGAGAGGGUGGACGGCCACAUUGGGACUGAGAUACGGCCCAGACGCCUACGGGAGGCAGCAGGGGGGAAUAUUGCACAAGGGGCGCAAGCCUGAUGCAGCGACGCCGCGUGGGGGAUGACGGCCUUCGGGUUGUAAACGCCUUUCGCUAGGGACGAAGCUUUUUGUGACGGUACCUAGAUAAGAAGCACCGGCUAACUACGUG
rnacentral:rRNA from 1 species